GACUGUUUCCACACUGUGGAAGCUUUGUACUUUCACUCUGCUCAAUAAAGCCUGCAGCUUUUUCUCACUCUCAGUCCAUGUCUCUUUCACUCACUGUGGUCAGCUUCCACACCAUUUCUUUGGUGUGGCUUGGCAAGAACCUCAGGUGUUACAUCUUGGCGAGCCAGACAGGAGACUCCAGAAAAGGUAUCUAGAUCAUCAUGCAGGGUGAUUUUCCUGUACCAGUCCAAUGCCUCCAGAGGAAGAUCAUA
rnacentral:lncRNA from 1 species